UUUUUGGCUGGACUACGGUCUGAAACUGGAAGCAGAUGAAGAGACCUGAGAAGACCUAGGUUGUGUUUGGUUCCUGAAGGAACGAUCCGCACUUGCAGUGGAAGAAGACGAACCGGUAAGUCGGGACCAGAUCCAUCAAAGCUCCAGAAGACCAACAUAUCCACACCAAAAGUGGCUGGAAUUUCCCCUCUCCUUCUAUUUUAAGUAAACUCUGUGCUGCCCUUCACUCUGCCCCACAAACCUUCCUGGUCACCCACUCUGAACCCUCUGCACAUGCUUCUCAGCAACAUGAUGGAGUAAUUCCGGAGAAGUGGAAGUCUUGCCCAGUUGACAGCCACCAUCAGGAGAGCCCUGAAGGUGCUUCUCUCACCCACCCAGUCCAGAGCAAGAAUGACCAGUAGCCCUGGGCUGGCUCGGAACGGUGUUGCUGCGGCAACCACAUAAACAGAUCAGGAUCUGGAAUCCAGCAGAGCAACCAUCAGUUUUUGAAUGAAAACCAGUCAAAGCUUUCAGUAUAUAAGCAACACAAUUCGCUGUGCUUCAUAUGGGAAGAUGCUCCUCAUUGGGCACUGAUAGCAAGACACCUCUGGAACUGGUAAAACAACCUUCCUCAAAAAUUGAAGUAGAAUGAAAUAAACAUUGGCAAACACCCUUUUAGAAAGUUAUACCACCCAAAC